AUACUUUCAACACCAGGAACACUAGGUUCAGGCAUUCGAUGAAGAACGCAAGCAGAAAUGCGAAAAGUAAUGUGAAUUGCCGAAAACCAGUGAAACAUCGAAUCUUUGACGCACAUUGCGCCCCUUGGUAUUCCAGGGGGGCAUGCCUGUUCGAGCGUCAUU
rnacentral:rRNA from 1 species